rnacentral:lncRNA from 1 species
GAGGUGGGUGGGGGUGGGGGCGAGGCGGGAGGAGAGGCCGGUCCCGCCCGCCCGCGGUGGCUCGGAGGAGGCUGUAGCUGGCACAGGCUCUGCCUCUUUUUCCGCGAAUGGCCGCCGCUGGGCUGUGGCGUAGCAGCUCCUCUCUCCGCCCGAGCCCGGCUGACUCGCCCUUGAUUGACAGCGGCGGCGCGCGGCGCGGGCGGCGGCGCGGGUCGGGGGCGGGGCCAGGGCGGUGCGAGCCUGGCCGACUCCCCACCCCCCUCGGCCUCUCUCCGCCGGAGCCUCCGACUCUCCACCCCUUCCCCCAGCGGAUUGGCCGCCGACCUGCCGGGGGCCGGGGCGCUGGGGCCGCCUCCUCUCCACCCCCUUUCUCGGGGUUAUUCCUUUAGCAGCUCUUCUCCUCCUCCCUGGCUCCUCUGGCGCUCUUUCUCUCGGCGUUCUAGCUCAGGAGCGCUGCCGCUGGUGCAGAGCAGUGACCCGCCUUCUAAGAAGGGUUGCAUCGCGUUUUGCCUAAAAGCCUAAGUGGUUGGCGGAGUUCUAAGCCUUAUCUGACAAGAGUCUCCGGGCGAAGAAAAGCCCAGCUCCAUAAGGGUCAGCCCCGCUUACGGUGUAGCGUAAGCAAGCGUAAGGGCAAGUGGAAUUAACAUCUGGCUGCACAAAGCAUCUUACUGUCAAAUGCACUUGAGCAGUGUCCUGCCUCAGCUUUCCUACAAAGUCCUGAAGUCAGGAUGAUGCCAUGGAACGUAAUCAGCGCCUGAUUAACUGUACCAAAGGUGGAAGUGACCCCACAUGUAAAUACUGGCCUUGGGAACAAGGCAUGCUUACACCCCAGGCUCAAAGCCAUUGUCUCACUUCUUACCUGGGCUUC